rnacentral:rRNA from 1 species
UACGUAGGGUGCAAGCGUUAAUCGGAAUUACUGGGCGUAAAGCGUGCGCAGGCGGCUUUGCAAGACAGAUGUGAAAUCCCCGGGCUUAACCUGGGAACUGCAUUUGUGACUGCAUGGCUGGAGUGCGGCAGAGGGGGAUGGAAUUCCGCGUGUAGCAGUGAAAUGCGUAGAUAUGCGAAGGAACACCGAUGGCGAAGGCAAUCCCCUGGGCCUGCACUGACGCUCAUGCACGAAAGCGUGGGGAGCAAACAGG